GUGUCAGCAGCCGCGGUAAGACGAACCACACGAACGUUAUUCGGAAUUACUGGGCUUAAAGGGUGCGUAGGCUGUGCGGAAAGUUAGGUGUGAAAUCCCCCGGCUCAACCGGGGAAUUGCGCUUAAAACUACCGUGCUCGAGGAAGAUAGAGGUGAGCGGAACUUCGGGUGGAGCGGUGAAAUGCGUUGAUAUCCGAAGGAACACCGGUGGCGAAAGCGGCUCACUGGAUCUUUUCUGACGCUGAUGCACGAAAGCUAGGGGAGCAAACGGGAUUAGAUACCCCUGUAGUCC
rnacentral:rRNA from 1 species